UACGUAGGUGGCAAGCGUUGUCCGGAUUUACUGGGCGUAAAGAGCGCGCAGGCGGUCGGAUUAGUCGCGUGUGAAAGCCCACGGCUCAACCGUGGAGGGUCAUUGGAAACUGGGAGACUUGAGUGCAGAAGAGAAGAGUGGAAUUCCACGUGUAGCGGUGAAAUGCGUAGAGAUGUGGAGGAACACCAGUGGCGAAGGCGACUCUUUGGUCUGUAACUGACGCUGAGGCGCGAAAGCGUGGGGAGCAAACAGG
rnacentral:rRNA from 1 species